AAUAGAUACCCGGGUAGUCCACGCCGUAAACGAUGAGUGCUAAGUGUUAGAGGGUUUCCGCCCUUUAGUGCUGAAGUUAACGCAUUAAGCACUCCGCCUGGGGAGUACGGCCGCAAGGCUGAAACUCAAAGGAAUUGACGGGGGCCCGCACAAGCGGUGGAGCAUGUGGUUUAAUUCGAAGCAACGCGAAGAACCUUACCAGGUCUUGACAUCCUCUGACAACCCUAGAGAUAGGGCUUCUCCUUCGGGAGCAGAGUGACAGGUGGUGCAUGGUUGUCGUCAGCUCGUGUCGUGAGAUGUUGGGUUAAGUCCCGCAACGAGCGCAACCCUUGAUCUUAGUUGCCAUCAUUAAGUUGGGCACUCUAAGGUGACUGCCGGUGACAAACCGGAGGAAGGUGGGGAUGACGUCAAAUCAUCAUGCCCCUUAUGACCUGGGCUACACACGUGCUACAAUGGACGGUACAAAGAGCUGCAAGACCGCGAGGUGGAGCUAAUCUCAUAAAACCGUUCUCAGUUCGGAUUGUAGGCUGCAAC
rnacentral:rRNA from 1 species